UAGGGAAUCUUCGGCAAUGGACGAAAGUCUGACCGAGCAACGCCGCGUGAGUGAAGAAGGUUUUCGGAUCGUAAAACUCUGUUGUUAGAGAAGAACAAGGACGUUAGUAACUGAACGUCCCCUGACGGUAUCUAACCAGAAAGCCACGGCUAACUACGUGCCAGCAGCCGCGGUAAUACGUAGGUGGCAAGCGUUGUCCGGAUUUAUUGGGCGUAAAGCGAGCGCAGGCGGUUUCUUAAGUCUGAUGUGAAAGCCCCCGGCUCAACCGGGGAGGGGAAUGGGAAGCUGGGAGACUUGAGGGCAGAAGAGGGGAGUGGAAUUCCAUGUGUAGCGGUGAAAUGCGUAGAUAUAUGGAGGAACACCAGUGGAGAAGGCGGCUCGCUGGUCUGUAACUGACGCGGAGGCUAGAAAGCGUGGGGAGCAAACAGG
rnacentral:rRNA from 1 species